CCUCGAAUUGACAGAGAUCCGCCUGCCACUGCCUCCCCAGUGCUGGGACUAAAGGCGUGCGCUGCUGCCGCCGCCACCACCACCCGGCCAGACUUCAUUUUUGCAUAAUUGAGACUGAUUGUCCAUAUCAGGGAUCAGCAAAACCUUUUUCUAGAGACUCAGACAGUAGUGCCAACCCCUGCACUGGGGAGGCAGAGGCAGAAAGGUGUCUAUGAGUUCAAGGCCAGCCUGCUCUACAUAUCCAGGGCAGCCAGGGAUACAUAGUGAGGCCAUAUCACAAAAACAAAGAAAAGAAUCAGAUAGUAGCAGCUGGAGAGAUGGCUCAGUGGUUAAGAGCACUGGCUGUGCUUCCAGAGGACCUGGGUUCAAUUCCUGGAACCUGCAGGGGGGUUCAUGACAGUUGUGACUCUAGUUUUGGAGGAUCCGAUGCCCUCUUCUGUCCUCCAAGGAUGCCAGGCACAAAUGUGGUACACAGACAUGCAAGCAAAACACCUGUGCACACACACACAAAUGAAAGUCAGAUAGCACAUAUUUUAGUAUUAGUCGGCCCGCCAGUCUCUGUUGCAAUGACUCAGCUCUGCUGAUACCGACUGACCCUAGUCACACAUGAUGUGUAAAUGAAGGGUUUGUGUGUUCCAAACAAAACCGUUCACAUUACGAGGAGUGAAAGAGGGUCAGAGAAGGCGCAGGCGGGCCAUAGGGCACUUAUCUAGUACGUUCAAGAACCUGGAUUCCACACCCCUACCCCCACACUGAAAAGAAAGACAACCUUGCAACAGGCUUGAUUUCCCCCAGAACACUUCAUUGCAGGAGUAUUUCAUUAGCCUAUUUGUUUAAUUCAGAUGGCCAAAGAACAAAAUUUCUCUGUAUGUUUUGUUCAAAAUCUAAUUGGCUAUAAUUAGCGAGUCACAGUUUGAGAGCAUCCCAUCUCUGAAGCAGAAAGUGCUAGGCUGGUUGUGGUGUUGUACACCUUUAAUUCCAAUUCUCAGGAGACAGUGAUAGGAGGACUUGGAGUCUGAGGCUAGCCUGGGCUACUUAGCUAAUUCAGGGCUAGCAUGAGCCACAGAGAAAAGAAAGCAGGUGUGGCAUCUUCUGCCUGUAAUCCUAGCAUUUUAAGGAAUCUGAGGCAGGAGGAUUACUGUGACUUCAAGGCCAGCCAGGGUUACAGAAGCAAGGCCAUCUCCAGAAAAUAAAAACCAGAUCAAGACGGAGACAGAGGCAGAGAGCACACAAAGACACUCCACCAAACAGAGAGAAAUUAGGCUUCGAGGACAGAAAAGGACCAAAGGAAACAAAACAAGACAGGGUUUCUCUGUGUACCCCAGGCUGCCCUGAAACUCAGAGAUCCGCUUUCCUCUGUCUCCCAAGUGCUGGGACCAAAGGUGUGAGCCAACCACGCCUUUAAGUCAUUUCAAAGCCACCUGUCAUAGGUUUAAAGCUGAAUAGCGCCUCCUCCUGUUCAUUGCUGUGUUAACUUUUAAUCCGGCUUCUUUUGUAGCUCCUUUUCCUACCAAGGCCCCUAGCACACUUUCUACAGUCUGGUGGCAGGGGCGGGGGUGGGGUGGUGGGGUAGGGGUUUAAUGCAGCAGCUCGGGCCAGACAAUGACUCCCACAAAUUUCACUGAAGAUUAAAUCUGAUUUCAAGUCCCCACAAGCCAGGAUUUGUGUAAGAGUCCAAGGGCAAGCCAGGAGGUGGCGCACGCCUUUAAUCCCAGCACUCAGGAGGGAGAGCCAGGAGGAUCUCUGUGAGUUCGAGGCCAGCCUGGUCUACAGAGACCGUUGGUUCUAGGAUAGGGCUACACAGAGAAACCUUGUCUUGAGAGCCUCAGGCACCGCUUCUGGUCCUCCAUCUCUCUGAGAGGCCCCAGGCACUGGCUACAACCACCACCUGCCAGUCCAUCCCGUUAUCACAGCCUGGAAAGACUCCUCUCUCCCCGGGGCUGGGACACUCAGGGACACUCCAGCUUCUGUCUUUGUGAAAUUAAGCCUUGAUUCAAUAAUAAAAACCUCCUAAGGGAGGCAGGUCCCCAGGACAUGUCCCUGUGUGCCCUCGCUGUCUUAAGGCGACAUGCAGGAAAAGACUCAGCCUCUUCCUAAAUAAGGUCACUCUGCCCUUUGUUUAUGCGGCAUUGUAUUACACUCUUGUCUUCACUCCCCCAGGAUCCUUUAAAAAGGAAAUGCUGAUGGCUGCCAAGCGGCCUGGGUCCCUGGGUCGGAGGGAUCAUUAUUUAUCCAGCCACCCUGUUCUCCUCGGGCAUUCAGGGCUGCUGCUAAGCUCUUCAGUGGUUGCGAAUGGAGCAGAUGUGUAGCACCAACCACCACUGGUUUUAGGGCCGAGGAGGCGAUGGUGCAGCUGUGAAGAUCUUGCUGCCAGGCCUGAAGCCCUGAGCCCACUCCCCAGAGCUCACAUGGUGGAGGAAACGACUCCUAAGGGAAAGGGACCAUGGUAGGAACGCUUCCCAGUGAGGAGCUGCAGAUGGUGAAGCUGUAUGCUCAUCGGAUCCCUGGGCAACUCUGGAGUUGAGCCUACUUCCCUGCUUCCCCCGAGAAAAUAAAAAUAAUGUCACGAACCUGUGAUGAAAUUC